ACCCACCAAAAAUAUUAUGGGACGUGGCAUGUAGAAAGGAUGUCCAGCCAUUUCAUUCUUGUUGAAUCAUCUCUCCACUAUCUUGAUUCUCCUCAAUUUUCUUAUUCUUCAAUCUAAUUCCAAGCUAAUCUUCCAAACAAUUCAAGUUUCCAUCAAAGAUUAAUAAUAACAAUAAUUUUAUAACAUCUAAGAAAUUUAAAGGAUUGGGGUUUAUGCCUAGUGGUGGUGGCUGAAAUUUUGAGGAAGAAGGAGGAGAAAUUAGGGCUUGAAUUCAUGAUUUUUGUUCUUGAAACAUUUAGGUUGAAGCAUACAUGUUUUGUGUUCAUGCGGUCUUCUUGAUUUACGUUUUUGGUUGUCGCGGAGGAGGUUGUCCCGGAUGCGGAAGAAAGUAAGUAUUGUAAAGAUUGAAGUUAAAGAUGCUUAAUGGAUAUGGGUUGCUUUGGUUAAAUGCGGAUAAUGGUAUUGGUAAUAGGACCCAUAGUGAUCCCUUUGAACUAUCGGCUCUUUGUACACUUGUUAUGUCUUUUUGGAGAAUUAUUAUGAUGUCUAGUGUUGGACUCGAGUUUUUGGGUAUUUUAAAUGGGUCGUUUU